AGCAGCCGCGGUAAUUCCAGCUCCAAUAGCGUAUAUUAAAGUUGCUGCAGUUAAAAGCUCGUAGUUGAAUUUCGGGACUAAUAUGUCGGUCGUGCCUCGGUACGUACUGGUUUAUUGGUUUCUCCUUUCUGAAGAACCAUGAUGUCAUUUAUUUGGUGUCGUGGGGAAUCAGGACUGUUACUUUGAAAAAUUAGAGUGUUUAAAGCAGGCUCACGCUUGAAUACAUUAGCAUGGAAUAAUGAAAUAGGACGUUUGAUUCUAUUUUGUUGGUUUCUAGGAUCGACGUAAUGAUUAAUAGGGAUAGUUGGGGGCAUUAGUAUUCAAUUGUCAGAGGUGAAAUUCUUGGAUUUAUUGAAGACUAACUACUGCGAAAGCAUUUGCCAAGGAUGUUUUCAUUAAUCAAGAACGAAAGUUAGGGAUCGAAGACGAUCAGAUACCGUCGUAGUCUUAACCAUAAACUAUGCCGACUAGGGAUCGGAUGAUGUUAAUUUUUAAUGACUCAUUCGGCGCCUUAAC
rnacentral:misc_RNA from 1 species